rnacentral:rRNA from 1 species
AUUGAAUGCUGACAGCGUGGAUGAGGCAUGCAAGUCGUACGAAGAAUAGCUUGCUAUUCUUAGUGGCGGAAGGGUUAGUAAUACAUGGGUAACUUGCCUCUAACAUGGGAAUAACGGUUGGAAACGACCGCUAAUACCUGAUGUGGUGCAUCAAGGCAUCUUGAUGUCAUUAAAGUGGGGGAUCGUAAGACCUCGCAGUUAGAGAGAGGCCAAUUGGAUAUCAGCUAGUUGGUGAGGUAAAGGCUCACCAAGGCUAAGACGUCUAGGCGGAUUGAGAGAUUGACCGCCAACACUGGGACUGAGAACUGCCCAGACUCCUACGGGAGGCUGCAGUCGAGAAUCUUUCGCAAUGGGCGAAAGCCUGACGGAGCGACGCUGUGUGAGUGAUGAAGGCCCUCGGGUUGUAAAACUCUUUCGCCUGGGAACAAGAUUAACUAGCUAACAUCUAGUUGAUUUGAGGGUACCAGGUAAAGAAGCACCGGCUAACUACGUGCCAGCAGCCGCGGUAA